rnacentral:rRNA from 1 species
GGUUAAGCGACUAAGCGUACACGGUGGAUGCCCUGGCAGUCAGAGGCGAUGAAGGACGUGCUAAUCUGCGAUAAGCGUCGGUAAGGUGAUAUGAACCGUUAUAACCGGCGAUUUCCGAAUGGGGAAACCCAGUGUGUUUCGACACACUAUCAUUAACUGAAUCCAUAGGUUAAUGAGGCGAACCGGGGGAACUGAAACAUCUAAGUACCCCGAGGAAAAGAAAUCAACCGAGAUUCCCCCAGUAGCGGCGAGCGAACGGGGAGCAGCCCAGAGCCUGAAUCAGUGUGUGUGUUAGUGGAAGCGUCUGGAAAGGCGCGCGAUACAGGGUGACAGCCCCGUACACAAAAAUGCACAUGCUGUGAGCUCGAUGAGUAGGGCGGGACACGUGGUAUCCUGUCUGAAUAUGGGGGGACCAUCCUCCAAGGCUAAAUACUCCUGACUGACCGAUAGUGAACCAGUACCGUGAGGGAAAGGCGAAAAGAACCCCGGCGAGGGGAGUGAAAAAGAACCUGAAACCGUGUACGUACAAGCAGUGGGAGCACGCUUAGGCGUGUGACUGCGUACCUUUUGUAUAAUGGGUCAGCGACUUAUAUUCUGUAGCAAGGUUAACCGAAUAGGGGAGCCGAAGGGAAACCGAGUCUUAACUGGGCGUUAAGUUGCAGGGUAUAGACCCGAAACCCGGUGAUCUAGCCAUGGGCAGGUUGAAGGUUGGGUAACACUAACUGGAGGACCGAACCGACUAAUGUUGAAAAAUUAGCGGAUGACUUGUGGCUGGGGGUGAAAGGCCAAUCAAACCGGGAGAUAGCUGGUUCUCCCCGAAAGCUAUUUAGGUAGCGCCUCGUGAAUUCAUCUCCGGGGGUAGAGCACUGUUUCGGCAAGGGGGUCAUCCCGACUUACCAACCCGAUGCAAACUGCGAAUACCGGAGAAUGUUAUCACGGGAGACACACGGCGGGUGCUAACGUCCGUCGUGAAGAGGGAAACAACCCAGACCGCCAGCUAAGGUCCCAAAGUCAUGGUUAAGUGGGAAACGAUGUGGGAAGGCCCAGACAGCCAGGAUGUUGGCUUAGAAGCAGCCAUCAUUUAAAGAAAGCGUAAUAGCUCACUGGUCGAGUCGGCCUGCGCGGAAGAUGUAACGGGGCUAAACCAUGCACCGAAGCUGCGGCAGCGACGCUGAUGCGUUGUUGGGUAGGGGAGCGUUCUGUAAGCCUGCGAAGGUGUGCUGUGAGGCAUGCUGGAGGUAUCAGAAGUGCGAAUGCUGACAUAAGUAACGAUAAAGCGGGUGAAAAGCCCGCUCGCCGGAAGACCAAGGGUUCCUGUCCAACGUUAAUCGGGGCAGGGUGAGUCGACCCCUAAGGCGAGGCCGAAAGGCGUAGUCGAUGGGAAACAGGUUAAUAUUCCUGUACUUGGUGUUACUGCGAAGGGGGGACGGAGAAGGCUAUGUUGGCCGGGCGACGGUUGUCCCGGUUUAAGCGUGUAGGCUGGUUUUCCAGGCAAAUCCGGAAAAUCAAGGCUGAGGCGUGAUGACGAGGCACUACGGUGCUGAAGCAACAAAUGCCCUGCU